rnacentral:rRNA from 1 species
CGAGUGAAGCGGCAACAGCUCAAAUUUGAAAUCUGGUCCCUAGGGCCCGAGUUGUAAUUUGUAGAGGAUGCUUUUGGUGAGGUGCCGCCCGAGUUCCCUGGAACGGGACGCCACAGAGGGUGAGAGCCCCGUCUGGCUGGCCGCCGAGCCUCUGUAAAGCUCCUUCGACGAGUCGAGUAGUUUGGGAAUGCUGCUCAAAAUGGGAGGUAUAUGUCUUCUAAAGCUAAAUAUUGGCCAGAGACCGAUAGCGCACAAGUAGAGUGAUCGAAAGAUGAAAAGCACCUUGAAAAGAGGGUUAAAUAGUACGUGAAAUUGUUGAAAGGGAAGCGCUUGUGACCAGACUUGGGCGCGGCGGAUCAUCCGGGGUUCUCUCCGGUGCACUUCGCCGCGUCUAGGCCAGCAUCAGUUCGUCGCGGGGGAAAAAGGCUUCGGGAACGUGGCUCCUCCGGGAGUGUUAUAGCCCGUUGCAUAAUACCCUGCGGUGGACUGAGGACCGCGCAUCUGCAAGGAUGCUGGCGUAAUGGUCACCAGCGACCCGUCUUGAAACACGGACCAAGGAGUCGUCUUCGUAUGCGAGUGUUCGGGUGUCAAACCCNUACGCGUAAUGAAAGUGAACGCAGGUGAGAGCUUCGGCGCAUCAUCGACCGAUCCUGAUGUUCUCGGAUGGAUUUGAGUAAGAGCAUACGGGGCCGGACCCGAAAGAAGGUGAACUAUGCCUGUAUAGGGUGAAGCCAGAGGAAACUCUGGUGGAGGCUCGCAGCGGUUCUGACGUGCAAAUCGAUCGUCAAAUAUGGGCAUGGGGGCG